AGCAACAAAAUAGCUAGUAAAAAAAAAUUUCUCCUGGUGCCGGCUGGCCGCUCGGAGUCAAGGUCUGGGCGGUAUAAAUCCAUCUCCUUCUUCUUUCCCCCACAACCACCUCUCUCCAUUGUCGCGAGGAAGCUUGGUCCGGCCUGAGUCUGCGCCCCGCUCGCCUGCCAGGAAGGUGAAGACGAAUUGCUGCCAGUGGGGAGGAGCACCAGCGCGAGGGCCUGUGCCUCAUUGCGGAAAGCCGGGGACGGAGUUAUGCAGGGACGGCGCACGUAGACUUAUCAGAAGCAGCGACGGCUGGGCAGCUCUUCGGUAAGUGACUCCCCUCCCUCGCACCUGCUCGGCGUACCAUCAUUUGCAUAGCGUGCAUACCGUUGUUGAAGCCGAUUGCUAGCUCGUCGUGGCGGGGCGCGGCGCCACCAUUACCCCGGCGUUGAUCUGAGAGCGAUAGCAAAGGCGGUCGGUAGUGGGGAGUCGAUGGCGUUUCCGCCGUCGUCCGUCGGUGACCGCGUAUUUUUCCUGGAGCGCGUUGGCGAGUAGACCCGUUGGGGAAGAUGAUGUGCUGGUCGUCGAUCUGUUAACAGAUGCUCGUGAUUAGACGGAGGGUAGUGCAUGUGGCAUCCGCAGGAUCUUAGAUGGGCGGAGCAGAUUUAAUCGCGCAUACCCUUGGGCGAUCCAAUCUAGACCAUCCGACUGAUAAUGAGCGUCUUAGAUUAGACUCAACUUACCUCUUCGUUUAUUUAAAUCUGAGCCAUCCAAUCUAGAUCCAACGUCCGAGAAAACAGGAUACCCCUUCAGCGCAGUCGUUUUGCAGAGGAGCCCUUAAAGAAUUGCAGAAUGAACCUGGCGUCCACCACUACUGCUCACCGAGUAUUAGGAACAUUACGUGAUGGCCCCUGUAUUUUCCAGAAAUUAAUGCCCAGUCCAGAGAAUUAGAAAAUCCAAUUAGAAAAUGAUUUUUAAUGUGAAAAUAAAUGCCAGAAACUUGUGAAAUUCAUAGUUAAUUCAUUCUAACUCCAAAUUAAUUCAUUUUAGUUUCUAUAAUUUUGUUUUAAUAUUGUCUAUCAACUAGUAAUACUGUUUAGCCAUGAAACUUGAAUUAAAAUUGUUCAUUUGAAUUAAUCUAUCUUAGGUGCUAAAUAACUUCAGAAAUCCAUAACUUGGUAACCGUAACUCCGAAUUUAAUGAUUCUUCUUCCCACGAUCUCUUAGCAACGUGUAGAUUAUUAUUAUACAGUUUGUUCUUAUGUUUGUUGUAAUGUUAAUUUUGCCUAUACCAUGUUUGUUUGUAUUGCUACGACUAGCAGCGAGGUUACGAGUCACCUGAUGAUCAUCCUGGUACCUGGAAUCUCAAGUCCCAG
rnacentral:lncRNA from 1 species